AUUGAACGCUGGCGGCAGGCCUAACACAUGCAAGUCGAGCGGAUGAAGGGAGCUUGCUCCUGGAUUCAGCGGCGGACGGGUGAGUAAUGCCUAGGAAUCUGCCUGGUAGUGGGGGAUAACGUCCGGAAACGGGCGCUAAUACCGCAUACGUCCUGAGGGAGAAAGUGGGGGAUCUUCGGACCUCACGCUAUCAGAUGAGCCUAGUUCGGAUUAGCUAGUUGGUGGGGUAAAGGCCUACCAAGGCGACGAUCCGUAACUGGUCUGAGAGGAUGAUCAGUCACACUGGAACUGAGACACGGUCCAGACUACUACGGGAGGCAGCAGUGGGGAAUAUUGGACAAUGGGCGAAAGCCUGAUCCAGCAAUGCCGCGUGUGUGAAGAAGGUCUUCGGAUUGUAAAGCACUUUAAGUUGGGAGGAAGGGCAGUAAGUUAAUACCUUGCUGUUUUGACGUUACCAACAGAAUAAGCACCGGCUAACUUCGUG
rnacentral:rRNA from 1 species